rnacentral:rRNA from 1 species
CCAAGCCCUGCCGCGUGUGUGAAGAAGGCCUUUUGGUUGUAAAGCACUUUAAGCGAGGAGGAGGCUUACCUGGUUAAUACCCGGGAUAAGUGGACGUUACUCGCAGAAUAAGCACCGGCUAACUCUGUGCCAGCAGCCGCGGUAAUACAGAGGGUGCAAGCGUUAAUCGGAUUUACUGGGCGUAAAGCGCGCGUAGGUGGCUAAUUAAGUCAAAUGUGAAAUCCCCGAGCUUAACUUGGGAAUUGCAUUCGAUACUGGUUAGCUAGAGUAUGGGAGAGGAUGGUAGAAUUCCAGGUGUAGCGGUGAAAUGCGUAGAGAUCUGGAGGAAUACCGAUGGCGAAGGCAGCCAUCUGGCCUAAUACUGACACUGAGGUGCGAAAGCAUGGGGAGCAAACAGGAUUAGAUACCCCGGUAGAA